CAGUAGCCGCGGGAAUACGGAGGGCGCGAGCGUUACCCGGAUUUACUGGACGUAAAGGGCGUGUAGGCGGCCUGGGGCGUCCCAUGUGAAAGGCCACGGCUCAACCGUGGAGGAGCGUGGGAUACGCUCAGGCUAGAGGGUGGGAGAGGGUGGUGGAAUUCCCGGAGUAGCGGUGAAAUGCGCAGAUACCGGGAGGAACGCCGAUGGCGAAGGCAGCCACCUGGUCCACUUCUGACGCUGAGGCGCGAAAGCGUGGGGAGCAAACCGGAUUAGAUACCCGCGUAGUCCCUGUCUCUUAUAC
rnacentral:rRNA from 1 species